rnacentral:rRNA from 1 species
AGUUGCCAUCAUUCAGGUUGGGCACUCUAGCGAGACUGCGGUAAUAACCGGAGAAGUGGGGAUGACGUCAAAUCAUCAUGCCCCUUAUGACCUGGGCUACACACGUGCUACAAUGGUUGGUACAACGAGUUGCGAGUCGGUGACGGCGAGCUAAUCUCUUAAAGCCAAUCUCAGUUCGGAUUGUAGGCUGCAACUCGCCUACAUGAAGUCGGAAUCGCUAGUAAUCGCGGAUCAGCACGCCGCGGUGAAUACGUUCCCGGGCCUU